UUAUACCCGCCAGACCAGAGGUAGAGGCUUUUGAAUUUAUGAUCAUGGUAUCAUCCUCAUUUAUUUUAGGUUUGCGUCAGUGUUAUUUGAUUUAGGAUUGACUUUGUCCUAUGUGUGUGCAUAUUUUUCUUCCAGUUUUAAUUUUGUUAGUGAUUCUCUUGUCAUGCAUAUUUGUGUAUCUACCCUUGUAGGCGAUUCUUUAGUGGUAUAUCGG
rnacentral:lncRNA from 1 species